UCACAACCCCCAUCCAAUGGGCAGUCAUCAGGUUCAGCACCAAACGCACCGAGGAAGGCUUUGUAAGCUUCGUGAAUUUUCUCAAACCUCUCCCUCAAUGUGGUCUCAAUCUGGCUCAAUAGUUUUGCCUUCGUUUCCAACUCAGGCUCCAUCUGGCUAACCUUAGACCUCAAAUCCGUGAUAACCUCGCUGUCGCGCUGAGCACCUUCGUGUAGGCCUUCAAUAAUCCUGUCC
rnacentral:lncRNA from 1 species